AUUGAACGCUGGCGGCAGGCUUAACACAUGCAAGUCGAGCGGGGUGAUGGUGCUUGCACUAUCACUUAGCGGCGGACGGGUGAGUAAUGCUUAGGAAUCUGUCUAUUAGUGGGGGACAACAUCUCGAAAGGGAUGCUAAUACCGCAUACGUUCUACGGGAGAAAGCAGGGGAUCACUUGUGACCUUGCGUUAAUAGAUCAGCAUAAGUCGGAGUAGCUAGUUGGUGGGGUAAAGGGCUACCAAGGCGACGGUCUGUAGCGGGUCUGAGAGGAUGAGCCGCCACACUGGGACUGAGACACGGCCCAGACUCCUACGGGAGGCAGCAGUGGGGAAUAUUGGACAAUGGGGGGAACCCUGAUCCAGCCAUGCCGCGUGUGUGAAGAAGGCCUUAUGGUUGUAAAGCACUUUAAGCGAGGAGGAGGCUCUUUUGGUUAAUACCCAAGAUGAGUGGACGUUACUCGCAGAAUAAGCACCGGCUAACUCUGUGCCAGCAGCCGCAGUAA
rnacentral:rRNA from 1 species